UCCCUACGGGGGGCAGCAGUAAGGAAUAUUGCUCAAUGGGAGAAAUCCUGAAGCAGCAACGCCGCGUGAGGGAUGAAGGGCUUUUGCUCGUAAACCUCUGUAGUGAGGGAAAAAAUUUCCAUUCUAUGGAAUAUGAUGGUACCUCAAAAGUAAGCCCCGGCUAACUACGUGCCAGCAGCCGCGGUAAUACGUAGGGGGCAAACGUUGUCCGGAUUUACUGGGUGUAAAGGGUGCUCAGGCGGUUUUGUAAGUCAGAAGUGAAAUCCUAGGGCUUAACUCUGGAACUGCUUUUGAUACUGCAAGGCUUGAAUGUGGAAGAGGAGGAUGGAAUUUCUGGUGUAGCAGUGAAAUGCGUAGAUAUCAGAAAGAACACCAGUGGCGAAGGCGGUCCUCUGGUCCACUAUUGACGCUAAAGCACGAAAGCGUGGGGAGCAAACAGGAUUAGAUACCCUAGUAGUC
rnacentral:rRNA from 1 species